rnacentral:lncRNA from 1 species
AUCUCUCUAGGGCCCGUGUGAUGACAGCAAUGCUAUCAUAUGCUCGUAGUGCAUGAAUUCCUGGCUGGGCGUUGUCUUCCUCUGGGUAUUCAGAUUUAAAAUUUUUCUGAAACUGGGCAGAGAAUUCUUGGAAGGGCCUAUUGGAUUUGGAUUGGGAAUAGUAGGACUUGAUUCCUAGAGCCCCUUCCAUAUAGGAGAUAACGGAGGUGUCCAUGGAAUCCAGGAAGCUUGAAAUGCUAUCUGUAAUUAUCCAGGCUGAGUCUUUCCCCAUAAAAUCCAUCCGCCUUGCUUCUUGGAACAAUUGGGUAGCCAUUGGUAAAGACGAUUGAAGAACAAUGAAAACCCUGGAUUGUGUGCUCAGAAGCUUCAAGAGCUCUUGAUGGACAGCUCCUCUUGGAUCAGAUAGAGAUGAUAUGGGAGGAAGAGGCAAAUGGUACUCAAUCUCCGAGCCAACUCUUUGAAGAGCUUCAGAUAAAAUAGUUAACAUCUCAGCGUUCCCACCGUACGCAUCAUCUUCAUAGAUUGCGAUGACUCUUCGCCAGUGAUAGGAGUGAACGAUAGCUGCAAUGCACCUUAUUUGUUCAGAAACAUUGGUGCCCAUUUGUAUCAGGGUGGACCUUCCAAGCUGCCUCGAUGGCCGGACACUCGCGGCUGCCGCCAAUGAAAGAACUGGUACUUGAGCUUGGUUUCCGAUUUCAGCAGCUAAAGCUGCUUGCUGCCAUGUAUCCAUGCCCACAAUCACUUGCACUUUCUUCUCUUUAAUCAGUUCUUCAGCUGUAAUUAAAUGUUAUGAGCCCCAUCAAUUGUAUUCCAUUUUUGUUCUGCCUAUUUCAUUCAUAUUCAGUACAUAACAGUGUUUUUCAAUACAUGGAAGCAAUAAAAAUCCAUUUCCACCUAUUUCAAUUUCUUUUCUUUUUCUAAAUGAUGAGUGAUGCUUAAAACAAGUUUUUCAAGUUAUCCUAAAUUUAUUUUUUAGAGGAAAACUUAAGAAUGAAAAAAAAAAAGGAAAAGAAAAAGGAAAAACAUUAGAAUUUAAUAUUUUUUUAUUUUACUAUGAUUGCGAAAUGACCAAUAUAAAGACAUCCAUCUCUCUAUAUCUUCCUACUUUUAUUUUUUAAAAUUUAAAAAAAAAUUAAUAUAAAAAAUAAAAAUAAUUAUUUUUACUUCUCUAUAUCCAUUCAAAGUUUAACCCUAAUUCUUCCUUUGUCCUUUCCUCUGCCUCGUCCCUUCUUUUCCUUCCUAAUGGGUCAUGAAUGAUACAAAGGAAGAGAAUAAAAGGGAAACAAAAUUGAGGUGGGUGUUAAAGAAGAUGAGGAUAAUUUUAUCCUUUCAUAUUUAAUUUUUAAUUUAAAAUAAAUAAAUAAAAUAAAAAAUAGAAGAUAUAUAAGUGACGUAGAGAUAGUUUGGGUGGCUGAUGUUAUAACCACUCGUGUAUCAUUCUAGAGGAUUAAUGUUGAAAAUAAUAGGAGAUUAGACAGCCGUAGAAGGAAUCAAGGAAGAGAUGACCAACCUGUUAAGGCUGCCCCAUAGAGUUCUCCGGUGAAGUUCCGGGAGAUAAGAGAGAGCUUAUGAUUCUUGGAAUUGUUAUUGAACUUAUCCACAGCUAUCUUGAUGGCGGUUAUUUCCUCUUUACCUUUACGAGAAUUAGCAUCAAUGAUUGCCCCAAUGAUGGUGGAGUUGUCAUCUACUGCUGUGCCGGUGAUGUAUCCAAGAUGGCAGACAAUUAAAAGAAUGGAGGUAAGUGAAAAGUAGAUGAAACAUGGUGUUGGAGAAUUCAGUGGGGAGGGCAUUUCUGCUCUUAGCAACCAGCAAGCAAUUAGUGCCUUAAAGGAGAUUCUUCUAAGCUUAAAUAAAUAUAAAUUCACAAGUAGAAUAUUCAUUUCGAAUCCCCAGUAUGAAGUUUCCUUCUUACUUCGUAAGUCAAUUCUUGCUGGGGAAUUCCCUUCCAUUACUUCCAUUCUCCUUGUACGCGGUAUUCAAAGCCAACCGCAUGGAUUUAUGGCCAAGGACAAAGAAGAUUAAACAAUGUGUCGUUUUCAUUCAAGGAUUUAGUGGUGUUGGAGGUAAGCGAAAAAUAGAAGAAACAUGGUGUCGGAGGAUUUAGUGGGAAGGGCAUUUCGGCUUUUAGCAACCAGCAUGAAAGUGCCUCGACUUUGAAUCCACGAGUUGAAUUCUUUAUUUUGAAUCCCCAAUACGAAGUUCCCUGCUUGCUUCGUAUAUGAAUGCAUGCUGUGUUGAAAUCACUGAUUCACUGAAGGAUAGACACAAAGAAUAUUCAAACAUGAGACUACAUGCAUUUAUGGUCAAGGAAAUCACUGAAUUAACAUCCUUCAUUCCUUUAAUACUUUUGGUUUUAUCUACGAGAGAGAGAGAAUCUCGAUGGUGAUCGAACAAAAAGCGUGGAUUUUUUUAUAAUUAUUUUUUAAAUAAAAAAAUUUAAAAAUAUUUUUAGAAUGUGUUUUUGAGCUGAGAAAUUUUUUUUUUCAUUUUACUAAUAAGAAAAUAUUUUUAUAAAACGUUUCCAAAUAGAUUCUAAAUGUCAAGUUUUAGAUUUUGGUAAGAAUUGUGGUUAGAUGAUGCUGGAUUGAUCAUCAUGAUAAUACCACUUAAAAAAAAUUAUCAAUAUCAUCACAUGAUUAUUUCUCAUCUUAUACUAUUUAUAUAAUUCAACAAGCCUAUAUUUUGACUUAAUGAAGCUUAUAAAUUUAUAAUAUCUUUCAAAAGGGAGAAACAAUCUGGUGCUUAUGCCCCGCAUGCUGAGAUAUACAACUCCAUUCAUGCUCUGCCUUGCUAAUUGAUCAUCAAUUGGUGGAAUAUUUCAUUAACUAAGAAAGUCUUGAAUAUUUCAAUUUUUUCUAAUCGAUCUCUAAUCAAUGGAUGUCAUCAUUAACUAAUAGUUGUCAUAUGUUUCCACAAACAUUAGAGAUAAAACCGAAAAAAAAUCAUUUUUCUUAAUUUUUAUGAUAAAGGGGUAUUUUUAGAAGUUGACAAAUGCGUUAAUAUGAUAAGAAUAAACCUUGGAAAAUUAUUCAAAUUUGUCAAACUAAUUGUUCAAGGCUCUAGAAGAAAAAAUGAGAACAUUCUAAUUCCAAAUACUUUGAAUGUGUUCAAUUUUCAAAGUAUUGAUAAAAUUUACAAUGACUUGAUUGUGUCAUAUUUGACUUGGUCAUGGUCAUACAAGAUUAAUAAAAUAGUUUUUCUGCAAUUCAACACUAACUUCAUUCCAAACAUCAACUCCAUUCCAAAUUAAUUGGUAUGUCUCAUUUAUUUUGACUAAUUCACACUUUCAUUCCAAACAUCAACGCCAUUCCAACUUAAUUGGUAUGUCUCAUUUAUUUUGACUAAUUCACACUAACUUCAUUCCAAACAUCAACACCAUUCCAACUUAAUUGGUAUGUCUCAUUUAUUUUGACUCAUUCAUGAUCAACUCUCAAAAUGAUUGUAUUAUGACUCCAAUAUAUAAAAAUAAAUAAAUAAAAUAAAAAUUAAAAUUAAAUAAGGAGAAUUGUUGUUCUCAUAAAUUCCUUACCUUAAUGAAAAAAAAAAAAAAAGGAAUUGAAAAUUUUAAAUCUCUAUUUUUAGAAGAAGAUCGAUUGACCUUUCAAAGUAUCCUGAGCUAUAAGUUCUUCAUUUUCCUCUCAUUCUCUAUUUAGAGAUUGCAUCUUCUCCCUUAUAAGUAUUGGCCACAAUGUUGACUUGACUAAGGUGAAUGGCUUCUUGCAAAUGUUUGUUGUGAAAGAGUACUUCUAGAAAAAAGUUGACAAAUACAUUGAUAAGAUGAUAAGAAACCUAUGCUUGAGAAUCACUAAACAAAAGUGGGUUAGAGAAUCUAAAAAGUUGAUUGAAACUAAUUAAUUAAACGAAAGCAUUGAAAUGGUGGUAUAUACAAACAAAGUUAUCUUUACUUUAGCAAUAAAUUAAGAAAUUUUAUGCUAAAUAAUAUGAAUUUAAGACUUUUGUUUUAAUGAAAAAAAAAUCAUUGAUCUUAAAAUUUUCAUUAAAUAUUGAAAUAAUGAUAAAUAAUAUGAUCUUCAAUAUAUAUAUAUAAAGUAUAACAAAAAUGCCAAAUACUUUUUUCAUAAAAUAAAAGAAUAUACAAGACAAAUUUCCUUUUUAACUGAACAAAUAAUGAUUUACUUCCUAUAAUUUGAUGACAUUCAUGAAUUUGUCCCUCUUGAGCUAAUCUCCAAAUGUGAAUAGAAUUCUUCUCAUUAGAAUAAUAACAAUUUUAAAGUCACCUUGAUUCCAAGACCGAUAAAUUCAUAAUUUUUCUUGCUUGAUUAGCAUCUCCAAAAAUCAUGCAUUCCAUCUUAACCAUUAUUGUAUCACUAAAAUAUAUGUAAAUUGUCAUUUGAAUGUGCUUACAAGUCUCUAAAAUAAAUUAAUUAAAAUUUAACGUAAAAAUAAAUUAAUAAGAGGAUCUAUCAAAUCCAUUAAUGCCCAAAAACUCUAAAACUUCUUUUUAAAAUACAUAAGAUUAGCUAAGGAUAAAUAUUGGAAACUAAUAGAAUAUUGGUGUUUAGUAAUUGGAGCCAAAAUAUGUGCCCCAAUGACACAUAAACACUAUUAUUUAUGUAACAUAAAAGGCUAGAAUCACCCAACUUAACUCAAUUUGAUGCUAAGAUCCUAGUUAUGGAUCUAACUUAUAUUUUGAACUUAAUUCCAGGUGUAAGAAAUGAAAAAAAUGCUAAGUGCAAAAGCCAUUUUUUCAACCAAGGUAGAGGGAAAGGUUAAAAAAAAUGCAGACUCAAGACUUAUGGAGCAUGAGAAGACCAUAAAAAUAAGAGAAUCGCAAGCAUGAAAGAUGAGCAACUAAUGUUACGGAGAGAAUUAGAGAGCAAGCAACCAUGAAAAAAGAAGGUUUGAAACAAAUGCAAUCGAGCUUAAAAUGGAAUUUGAAACUCAAACCUAGUAAUAACACAUACCCUGAAUUUAAAGGGAAUUUUGGAGCAACUUUCAUAAUCUUUUUGAGUGAUUCCACAUAUGAUUUUGAAUUUGAAGAAGUCAAGAAUCCAACUCUUCAAAUAACUCAUGAUUUGGAGUUGAAAUGAAGAAGAUGUGAGCAAUUAAAAAGAAUUGUGCAAAGAGAAACCAAAGAAGUAUCAAUUUCACAAGAUGUGCAAAAUGGAAUAGAGUUAAAUUUUAUAAGAGCUAAGAAACCUAUGGGAAUUUCUUUCGCAUUAACAUGCAAAUAUUGACACAACCAUGCCAAAACCACUAGAAUUGUGUUGAAGUGUUGCCAAACCAUUUCCAUUUCACAUGAUCAUGCAAAAUUGGUAAUCCUCAUGAGAAAUUAAAGAGUUUUAUUGUUACACGUCUCUUUCAGGGUUAGACUAUAUGUAUUUGCUAUGAUUAAAGGGGAGAAAAAUGGAGAGAGAAAGGAAUUGAACUUUUUUUUUUUCAAUUCUUUAAUAAAUCUUUAGUUUUUUUUUUCUCUCUUUUCCAUCUUUCUAUUUUAUUUUAUUGGCAACCAAACAUGGGUUGUGAGGAAAAAUCCUCCAUCAUGUUUGGAUAAUUUAAUAGAUCCAGAGAUGUUAAUAGGAAUGUGAAGAAUCCAAAUGAGUAGUAAGAAAUGGUAAUGAAUUAAUUGGGUUUCUUUAUGUUUUCAUAUUUGAAUUAGUAGGAUUAAAUCAUCUCUAUUUGUUUACCCUAGAUAAGGUAUAAAGGAUUCUUACCAAGGUAUUAGUGAUUGUUGGAAAGAUCUUAAUCACUAGUUAACUCAAUUUGAUCCUAUUGUUAGCAAAUCUAAAAGUCGAAUCUACAAUAUGGAUAUGGGCUCUUGAUUGAAUAGAAUUGAAAAAUAAAAUCAACCCUUAUAUUUAAUUGGUUUGAGAGAUUUGUGCUUAAAAAAAUAAAGAUCUAAAUUUCAGAUCCAAUAAUGAUCAUGGGAUUCAAUUUGGUCUCAAAUUGACUUUAAUCCUAUAACCUAGAUUUUACAAGACUCACUUUUUAGGGAUUCAAUGUUGGAUUGUUCAACUCUUAAGGACAUUUUCUUUUAUUUUAUCAAUUUCAUUAAAUACUUUAAGAAAAUUUUAUUUAUAUUUAUUUAAAUUAGGUUUUAUUACCUUUAGAAAAUAAUUCAUCAUUCCAACCUAAAAUUAAUUAAACACAUUAGUGUUGAUCCUAGAGGGUGGCAACUUGAAAUACUACAAAGUCAUGGUAACUCCAUCUCUGGUUUUUUUUUUUUUUUUUUUUGCCAAAGUUAUCACGUAUUUAGGCUUUUAGUAUUUUAAUUAGAAAAGAGAUUUGUGGUCAAUUAGCAAUAAUAUAAUAUGUGAUGGCAAGAAAUAUGUAUUUUAAAAAAUACACUCAUUACUAAUAUAAAGUAAAUAUUUGAUUUAAUUAAAUGUCAAUAAUGUUAAGAUAGAGUUCUUAAAAUCAUGACAUGAGGCAAUGAUAAAUGGAUUUUAUUAUUUAUAUUAUGAUUCUAGUUUCCCAAUUUCUCUAUCCUAUUCAUGCAUUACACUCACUAAGCUUUUAGGAUUGGUAUCUCUUGCAUUAUACAUAACUUCGGCGCAUUAUACAUAGCUCUUAUAAAAUUUAACUCUAUUCCAUUUCGCACAUCUUGUGAAAUUGAUACUUCUUUGGUUUCUCUUUGCACAAUUCUCUUCAAUUGCUCACAUCUUCUUCAUUUCAACUCCAAAUCAUGAGCUAUUUGAAGAGUUGGAUUCUUUACUUCUUCAAAUUCAAAAUCAUAUGUGGAAUCACUCAAAAAGAUUAUGAAAGUUGCUCCAAAAUUCCCUUUGAGAUAGUAUGUCCACUUGGGUGAUCCUAAAGACACGUGUUCAAGCAAAUUAUGCACACAGUAGUUAAUUCCUUAAUUCGAAACUUGACAUGAGUUCUUUGUGAGUUAGUGUACAUGUCAGUUGAUCACAAAAUAGGAGGAUUUAUAACUUAAUGACUUUAGAAUUGUUCUUCAUCAUAAAGAAAUCACUUGUGAACAUCUGAAUCUUUGGUAAGCACUCUAAUCUCACUCUUCUAGACCCUAAGAAUGUAUUGAAUGCAUAUUUUUCCACUAUAUGUAGGUUCUAGUCGCUUUAAGGAAGUUUCAUGCACCUAACAAGGUCUAGGGCUAGGGGACAAAGUUAUCUGAAGUUUCCUACACUAAAAUCAUUAAUGACUUUGAUCUACUGGUGAGACACUAAGGUUGUUAUAUAUUCCUAAUAGAUUGGUCACUAUUAAUGGAAAUUAGUGACAACAUGUAUAUUCAAGAGAGGCACCACAAUAUCUCAUUGGUUUGAGACAGUGUGUCCUCUUAGGUGAUCCUAAUGACAUGUGAUUAGGAAAUAUGUGGUUAUAAUAAUUCCUUAAUUAGAAUUUGACAUAUACUCUUAGAGAGUUAGAAUAUGUUAGUUGAUCACAUAAUAAAAGGAUAUGAGACUCAAAGAUUGCAGAGGUAAUUUUGAGAGGUUGAUAACAUAUACUUUGUUAAAUUACGGAUACUAGUUCCUAGAAAGUCUACAAACAAUGGAUAGUAGGUCAUAAACUUGAGUUCUUGUAGUGUAAUUGACUCUUUAUAGUAGGAUGUUGAGUUAACUUUAAAACUUAGAUUAUGAGGGAGCUAAUAUAUUUCUAUAUGUUUUAGUGAUCUCCGCUCAAACUUAUAUUUUUUUAUGGCACAUUUAUUGAGGGGUAUUUAGGUUAUUUAUUCAUAUGUGUGAAUAACAGUAUUUUAGUUAAUACUCAAGAUUGCACAAGAGCUUGUAAAUGGUCUCUCUAGACUAGGGUAAUAGAUUAAUUAGAGACUGAUAUGACCAAUUAAUUAAUUAAGACCCAAGUAGAUUGGAUUAGGGGUUUAUAACUAUAUAAAUCCACAAAGAAGCCUAUAUAAACCCUCUUAGAGGUUUAAGCCUUCAUUUUUGACAUUACAAUCUUCCUAUUCACUUCAAAGAGAAGAAAUGCUUAGUCACCACCCCUCUAUGAUACUUCCACUACCUUCAGUGAUAAGAGUAAAGGAAAGAGAGUUAUCAGGUGGAAGAUUCCUAGGCUUGUGAGAUCCAAGUUAUUCUUUAUCGACAAGAAACAAUUGAGGAACAUUCAAGUAUAAAGUAAAACACUUUAAACCUCUAGAUCUACAUUUUUUUUUUUUUUAUGUUUGUAUUCUUCUACUUGUUAGAUCUGGAGAGCUUUAAGAAGAUUUUUCAUGAUUUUUCGAUCCAAGGCUAAGAAUGGAGUAAUCUAUGGAUUCCCACAAAUAAUUUAUACAAAUUACAUUCUAAUGGUUCUAUCUUAUAUUAAAAUAAAGGUCAUUAGUUUUUGUGAAAUUAAGGCUAGUCUUAUUAGGAAAAUCAACCAAGAGGGGGGUGAAUUAGGUUUUUGAAAAACUUUUCUAAUCACUACAAAUUUAAUAAUAAUAAUAAGGCAUAAAUAUAAAAAAAUUGAGUUAGAGAGAGCAAAUGCAAAUUUUAUAGUGGUUCGACACCCCUUGCCUACAUCCACUCUUCUCAAGCUCCAAUCGAUUGAGGGUUCCACUAUCCUUGAAACUUCAACUAAGCUUCCAAUGUCUUUACACUUGGAUUUUGGCUCUAAGGGGCACUUACACAAUCCCUUUAAGAAUUUACCAACUUGAAGCUGUCAAUGCUCACAAAACUCACAUAAACAACAAGGAAGUAAACUCUCAACCUAGCUCAAUAAAUGCUCAAAUAAAAAAGAAGGUUAGGAUGAAUGACAAAGGGUGCACUAAAGAGUAUGCAAGUGAAGAAUCAAUGCACCAAAGAAAGAAAAUAAGAGCUUUAAAUGAAAAACAAGUAAUUAGACAAUUGAUUGCAUGUGUUCCCUUACUCAUAAAUGAAGUAAAGUUUUCUAUUUAUAGGUUUCUAGUCUUGAGAACCAAAAAUAACAUAAAAAUGCCUCAUCCGGUCGAGCUCCGAUUCAAUCGAUUGACUAGUCGUUGGGCAUUAAAUGCAUAGUUAGUGACCGUUAGGCCUCAACCGAACCUCAAUUGGGAACACCUAGCCCUCAACCAGGAAAGGUCUCACCCUCAACCAAGAAUGAAACCUUUCUAGAAGAGAAAGAAAAAAAAAUUGCAUCUCUCGAUCGGAAUUAGAUGGAAUAUAGAAAAUCUUAUGUCCUAAGCCUCUAAAUUUGUUCAUUAUGUAUUUCUUUUUAUAUUAAUUUUGUUCUUAUUAAUUAUUUAUAUAUAUUAUUAUUUUGUGCUUAAAGUGUCUAUAAAUAAUUAAAAUCAAUAACUUUGAAAAGAUGAAAGAGUAAAAAUUUGAAAUUAAAAAAUCUUUCAUAUACAUAUAUUUAAAAAAAAAAAAAGUCAAAGGUAUUAUGGAGAAAGGAAAAGAUAAAAAAUAAAUAAAAAAUAAAAAAUCGUGAGGCAUGAUUGGUUACUACAAUUCAUAGUUUUCUUUUUUAUAUAUAUAAAAAAAAUUAAACAAAAAUAGACAACCAUGAUGAGCUUUGCAUCUUUGAUUUGUCGUGUCAAAGUUAAAAAAUAAAAUAAAAAAUGAGGUAGUUAAUUGAAAGUAAAGGUGGUUUAGAAAGUAGUUUUGGAAUUUUGAUAAUAUCAUGCAUGUUUGUAGGAUUAUUUUCUCCAAAAUGUAUGUGUUUUGAAAGUCAAAAGUCAAAAUUUUCAACUUUUUUUAGGUGUUGCAUGAUUAUAUGAUUCUCAUCCAUGGUUUCAACAUACUUCUUGGAAUUGGAGCUUUCUAGGAAUUUUGAUUUAGGGUUUCUUAAUUAAUAAGGGUAAAUUUCUAGGGAAUUAGAGCUUUCUAAAAGGUCACCAAUUUUAUGAAUUAGCAAAGACAACUUAGAAGAGGAUAAUUUUACUUCUUGAAUGACAUUUUUUUUCCUAUUGCUCCUUAUAAAUAUAAGAAAAACAAAAUAAAACAUGAUCCAAUGGUUUACUUAUAUAAUUUGUGAAAAAAGAAUGAGAGAUACUUAAAUCAAGAAAACCACAACAAAACCCUAAACUUUAACCGUUUGAUUCCCUUAUCGUCGAUAUUUUCUCCAUAAACAACUACAUGGAAAAGCUUAACUCUUUUUCACAAGGCACACUAAUCUCUUUCUCUCUAUAGAUCUACUUCUUUUCUUCUUCUUUUUUCAUGAGAAGUCCCUUUGUAGUGGUUUUGAUUUCUAGGGUAUCAUUUCGAGUAUUUAAGAAAUUCAAAGAUUUCAAUUUUUAGGUUUUCAUUUUAGAUCCUUCUAUUUUUUCACACCCAAAGAAAACAGGGAACUCUCCAAAAAAACAUUGGUAUUCAAUCUUACACCUCUUUUUUGAGGGCAUGACAAAUGGGAUCUAAAUAACAUAUUGGGCUAUUGGGUUUUGGUUUGUUUUGGAAGUCCUUUUUAAAUUGAAUUUGUUUUAUAUUUCCAUCACCUUCUCCCUUUGUCUCCACCAUUUUUAUUACCACACUCUCUUCUAUUACUAUGAUUUUUAUUUUUCAAUGUUGCUUGUUAGGUUUUAAUUCUAGGUUUUUGUUUUAUAUUUCAAAGGCUUAUAGCUAGCUCCAAGUGUACAAAUAAUAACAUCAUUUUGAUUCUCUUAUUAUUAUUAUUUUUUAUUCAACAUGGAUUAGGACAAAAUCCUUAAAAGCAUAACAUGAUGUAAAAAUAAAUGAUUUUUUAUUAUUAUUUAUAAUAUGUUUCCAUUUUCCCAUUUAUAUAUCUAUCAUUUUUUCAUACUUCAUAUUUUAUGAGUAUUGAAGCCUAGCAUCACUUACAUUAUAAAUAAUUUGGAUGUAUUACAAAUUGUAUAGAAGAUCGAAGUCAUAGGUUUCUUGUAAGUUAAUUAUUCAUUAACAGUUGAUUAAGCAAUGUAUUUAAGGUUAUAGUGUACUACCUUCUAAUUGGAUGAAUGACUUGCUUUAGUUUUUAGGAUAAGGUUUUCAUGGUGAAUGCAUUAGUAUAAAUGGUUAUACAAUAGACAAAAUCUAUAAUGAGUCAUAAUAUUGAUUAUUAAGUAGUCAUGAUUUCACCAAAUUACUAUAUGGUAUAUAUUCUUAACUUUAAGAGAAUAUUAAGGUAGUGUUGGGAUCUUUAAUAACUUUGACCUAUUUGUGAAACCUUAAAGUAAACAUAUAUUCCUUAUAUCAAGGAUCUUAUAACAUUUAUUAAAAAAAACCUAAUUAUUUAUUCUAAGUAAAAUAGUAGUACAUAAACUCAACAGCUAGUCUCUAUUGAGUGUAUAUGGUUGCAGUAGGGGGAGAAGUCUCAAGAGACUCCGGCACAUCAGAAGGGCUCACCCUUGAGUUCAUAGUCGCAGUAGGUGGAGAGGCCUCAAGAGGCUCCGGGCAUCAGAAGGGCUCACUGUUGACCACCUUGCAGAGAUCCAUUCAUCUCCAGUGGAACGAGAAGACAAAUUUGACAGUCUUUCAUUAGGAAUCUCAGUUUGUCCAUUAUGAAAGAAAUGUACUAAUUGAACAGUCUUCAUCCAGACACUUUCAUCACUUCUGGAUGGCUGUUUACGAUUAAAAUCGAUGAGCAGGCGAAGGAAGAACAGUACAAUGUAGAGGGUGGAAGUGGCGCCACAUAAAAGGUAGAGAGCCCAGAAGUUCCCGAGGCUCAGUUCAUCAUUUUCGGUGGCUGAACACUCGGCAGAACAAGGAAACCACUUUUCUUCUAAUGCUUUUAGAAUCCUCUUCUCAGAUAUGGUUAGGAUGGCUUCAGAAACAUCAGCAGCUAAUGGAGAGCCUUUCUGAAAGGCCUGCAUGGAGAUCAACAAGGAUGACAUGACCAAAGCUAAUUUCAUUGUGACAAUGCUAAAAGAAUUCCAUAUGCUAUCCUACUCCACUGAGCAAUGGUUCAACUAAUUCAAUUCCUACCACCAGUCAAGGGAUGGGACAAUUUUCUUUGGGGGAAAAGGGCAUCAACAAAUCAGUUUGGGCCACUUCAUACAUGUGUUAAGAGAAGUUGCAGAAAAUUUUAGAGAAUGCAAAUGGGGAAGAGUUCCAGUUACUACUCACAAAGACUAAUCCUCCAAAUCUGUUGAGGGGUUGGCCGGCAGUGUAAUUCUUGCAGAACUGGCUGGUGAAAACUUUUGCAUAAGGAAGUUGAAGAAAGGCAGCUGACAUGUUCCCACUCUGGAAUUCGCCAGGAUAUUGGUAUUGGUUGCUAAUAUUCUUGAUAUCAGCUCCUUCGAAUUUAAACACGUUCUCUAAGUAUUCCCUCGUAAAUGCAGCACCAUCACAACCAACCACAGACCUAGUAGCUUUUAGCCAUUCGAUAUCCAUCACAUUGGGUUCAAGUCGUCGGACAGUGAGCAUUGAAGAGAGACUAGCAGUGUAGCUCGAGGUUAAAACGAAGACUACAAACAGCCACACCACUAUCACUACUCGAGUAAUAUUGCUACGAAUUGUCUCCCCUGGAAAAUGAAACAAUGGCUAGCUUUCUGAGUUAUUUAAUUAUUGAGCAACCAAAAUCUCUUCCAUUUUUAAUAUUACUACUUACUAUGAGCAAAGAAAAGAGAAGAGAAGGUGAACCAAAGAGCAGUCCCGAGCUGACUCUUCCAUGGGCCUCUGAAUGCUGGAUUAUUGGAUUGGUACGAUCCAGUACCCAAACUAUGAACAUGGUGUAGAUCAAGAGGGCACCUGUGACUACCCACAUUUCCAUGGUGAAAGGCUUCAGGAACAUCCAUGCCUUGUGAGGUUCUUUAGGCCUUGCUUGUAUUAUCACCAAUCCCGACUCGGCAUAUGGCAGUGUGAAUUCCACUUUUUUUGAACGGGUGGCAAGUAUAGUCACAUCGCCAACCACAGCAUCAAAGGUCUUCCAUGUAUUUGAUAGGCAUAAAAUCUCUCAGAGACAAAUGAUUGAAACAAAUAUGAAGUAUGAUUCAGGAAUUCUGAGCGUUAAUCUUCUGUACUAUGUUCACUGCUGUCUCAUGGGGAUAAAGUCAAAACUUAAUAUACCAGAAAAGUCUACCGGGCAGGAUUUCUUUGGGAGGCAUAAAAAUUGAGAAGUUUCGAGGGUUUGAAAAACCUAAUUAUGGAAAUAUAUAUUUCAUAUAAAAUCUUUCAUAAACUCCGGCGCUCUUGUAGAAAAGCAGGCAAGUGUUAACUAGAGAGGUUCAGUUUGACUUUGAUUAUCAUUUAUCAAGCGAUUGUUUCAAUUGUUUUCCUUUAAACAAACGACAUGUUAAUUUGGUCAGCAAGCAAGACAUGCUUUUUGAGAAAUUAGAAAAGGGGGAAGGUUUACUGAUGAAAUCACAACACAAACACCUGCUGAAGUUACAAAUAAAUCUUGGUCGCUAAUGUGAAGUUGAGAUUUAAUUCUGGUGUGGGGAAUAUCAUGAUUAUUGAGAAAGAUUUAAAGAGCUAAGGCUAGAGAUAGGAGUAAAUACCUUGUUAUAAACACAAUAUUCAACCAGCUCGUCAUAUGUGCCAAAAAAUGGAUGGAACUUGUAGGGUAGAGAGUAAUUUUGCUCCAGAAUUUUUACCACCUCUCGGAAAAUAUCAAUACAGAAACCAGUAUAUUUUUUUUCAGGCUCGAUUUGAGCUUCGCCCACCUCCACAAAAUUUUUAAAAGUGCCGUUAGCUGGAAUUCCAAUCUUCAAUGGUUUUGGAUCAGUGGGCAUUUCCCAUCCCUUGGGGACACGUUUUAGGUACCCUGGCCAAAUCACUGGACCCUCCAAAAUCCUUGUGGUGUUUCUACCGCUAUUUUUGUCUCCACCUUCUCUGCUGAAAGGGUUGUCCAAGUCCUGUGUCCAAAAGUCAAGAUCCUUGUAGCCUUUUCCAACAAAGUUUAUAAUCCUGAAUGGCAACGAAUUUGAAUUUGAAAAAUUAAUUGUUCCACUUAAACCACUAAAGUUGCUUGAUAAUAUAUUUUUUAACAACAUUUUUGGAGUAUCAGUAUCACCAACUAAUCUCUCCAGGGCCCAUGUGAUGACAGCAAUGCCAUCAUAUGCUCGUAGUGCAUGAAUUCCUGGCUGGCCGUUGUCUUCCUUUGGAUAUUCAGAUUUAAAAUUUUUCUGAAACUGGGCAGAGAAUUCUUGGAAGGGCCUAUUGGAUUUGGAAUAGCAGGACUUGAUUCCUAGAGCCCCUUCCAUAUAGGGGAUAACAGAGGUGUCCAUGGAAUCCAGGAAGCUUGAAAUGCUAUCUGUAACUAUCCAGGCUGAGUCUUUCCCCAUAAAAUCCAUCCGCCUUGCUUCUUGGAACAAAUGGAUAGCCAUCGGUAAUGAUGAUUGAAGAACAAUGAAAACCCUGGAUUGUGUGCUCAGAAGCUUCAAGAGCUCUUGAUGGACAGCUCCUCUUGGAUCAGAUAGAGAUGAUAUGGGAGGAAGAGACAAAUGGUACUCGAUCUCCGAUCCAACUCCUUGAAGAGCUUCAGAUAAAAUAGUUAACAACUCAGCGUUGCCACCGUACGCAUCAUCUUCAUAGAUUGUGAUGACACUUCGCCAGUGAUAGGAGUAAACGAUAGCUGAAAUGCACCUUAUUUGUUCAGAAACAUUGGUGCCCAUUUGUACCAGGGUGGGCCUUCCAAGCUGCCUCGACGGCCGGACACUCGCAGAUGCAGCCAAUGAAAGAACUGGUACUUGAGCUUGGUUUCCGAUUUCAGCAGCUAAAGCUGCUUGCUGCCAUGUAUCCAUGCCCACAAUCACUUGCACUUUCUUCUCUUUAAUCAGUUCUUCAGCUGCAAUUAUAUCUCACUUAUUUCAUUCAAAAUUCAAUACAUAAUAAUGUUUUCAAUGCAUGGAAGCAGUAAAAUCCUAUUUCCAUCUCUUUCAUUUGUUUUUCCCUUAAAAGGAAAACAAUGAUAAGUACUGAUUCGUCCCUAGCAGUGGCAGUGGCAAUGGCACCAUUUGAUUCGGGGUUCGAUCCCCGGCAACGGCGCCAUUUGAUUCGUGCCCAAUUGGUGUCUCAGCUGAUUCGUGUCCAGCUGGUGCUCCUUGAUUGAGGGAGUAAUCAACAAAAUUUAUAACCUAUUACACUAUAUACUAGGGUAGCAAAGACAAAGCUACUAUAGUAUAGUGGCUCUAGGAUCGUUCACUGGGAUGGGUUUUCACUUUGCAAAUGAUAUUAAUUCAAAGCUGAAUUGGUGUCUUUUCAUUUCAAGGUUAGCUUUAAAAGAAAACAUAAAGAUGUUUGAAUGAAAAAGGUUUGGUUUUAAACUAAUCAAAAAUAGUAAUUGAUUUUACUUACAAAGAAAAGAUGUUUCUUGGAGUUCAGAUCACUAGGCUCGUUCCUCAUACAAAAUGGGAGUUCCGGUCACUUGUUUCUUUUCCUCGCAUUAGAGAAUUAACAUAUAGUUCCUUCUCCAACCGGUGUUGUACAGAUGCUUCCCAUCAAUGGGUUCAAACACUAAAUCCCUCUCACUGAUGCAACUUGCAAUGGUUCAUGCCUCUCACGAGCACUUACCAUUCAAGAUGAUCUUUAACCUUGGACUUCCCUUCAAAAGCUCGCAAGAGAUAACUAAUGGAUGUCUCCUUGGAGUCCAAAAGCUUACCAAGUGUUGGCUAUUCUAGAAAAUCCUACCUUCAAGUCACCUCCCAAAGGCUCGCAAGGGGUAAACUAGUGCAUCUCCAUGGACGGAGAUCACUUGCCUUACCAAGUGUUGGCCCAGGUGAUUUAAAGGCAUUUUAAGUUAACUAAAAAGAUAAAAACCAUUAACGGGUUACACUUUCUCUUCAUUAAAAACUAAAACAACAAAACUUCCAAAUUAUGCAUGUGGAAACUUACCCGGCUUUCCUCACUCCAAGAGACAAAAGGCUUAGCCUCUCAUCCUCUGAGGAAAAAUCCUCAGAGUUUGGUUGGCUAGAAAAUGAAAAUGAAAUGAAAAAUGAAAGAGAAGGAAAAACAGAGCAAGGCUCUGUAUAUUCUAUAUAUGAUCAAUAUUACGGAUUACAUAUAUGGUCCUCCUCCUUUACAGUGGAUGCAAGGGAAUAUAUAUAGAGGAGUUUUUCCAACCUUCCUAGCUAAGAAAUCUUGUGGUUGGUGGCUUACAAGGAGAAGAAUGGAAAUUUAUACACAAAAAUCUGAAGAAAAAUAUCUAAAAGAGUCGGUGCAAAAAUAUCGGGAAGCUCCAGGAACAUUUCGCAGGUGAAAAAUGGUGUCUGCGAGAUUUCGCAGACACUCAAGAGGGCUGCGAAAUAUUUUCGCAACAACAAGUUAAACUCGCAGGGCUGCGAAAUUGGCUUCCACCUUGAGGUUCUCAGAGUUCCAGCUUGCGGCAUGUAUCGGGUAGCUUCAGGAGGAAUUCCAUAGCACUGUACAAAAAGGCUGCGAAAUUCUCGCAACAAAAGGCUGAUUUCGCAACACUUUGGAGUGAUCUGCUUGCAAUGGCUGUAACUCCUUCGUUUCAACUCCGAAUCGCGUACCGUUUGAAGCAUUGGAUUCUUGACUUCCUGAUCUUUGAAAUGGUAUAUAGAAUGUAGAAAAUGGACUUCGGGAAGUGCUCCAAAAGUGCGCAUGAAGACUGCAGCUGCUUGUCCUCUGUUUUCUUCACUCUGUUUUUCCUUUCUCCUUGCUUCUCUCCUUGCAUACUUUGAACGACUUUGGCAAAGGGAUAUGGAGCUCCAAAGCUUGGUUUCUUCAUGAAUUUGAGCUUCCAAAAGCUUUGCCAUGAAUUCCAAAUAGCUCAUCCAUCAUUUGGCAUGCUUGAAUUGAUUCAUAAGCUGAUAAAAACAUGUAAACUUGCCACAAAAUAGUUAAAACCAAUUACUAAGGACCUUAAUGAAUUAAUUGGGUUAAAUGAAUAUGAUUACUACUCAAAGGUGCUUAAAACCAUUAUAAUUAGGUCUACAAAAUAGCACUUUUUGGUAGUAAUCAAGUACUACUUAAAACAAGUUUUUCAAGUUAUUUAAAAAUAAAUAAAGGAAAAUUUAAGAGUGAAAAAAAGAAAAAAAAAUGAAAAGCAUUGCAAUUUAAUAUAUAGGUGCAGUCGCAACAACUUUAGAAGAGAAGACCAACAGACCAACCUAUUAAAGCCGCCCGGUUGAGUUCGCCGGUGAAGUCCCGGGAGAUAAUAGAGUGCUUAUGAUUCUUGGAAUUAUUAUUGAACUUGUCCACGGCUAUCUUCAUGGCCGUCAUUUCCUCUUUACCUUUACGAGAAUUAGAGUCAAUGAUUGCCCCAAUGAUGGUGGAGGUGAUAUCUGCCGCUGUGGCUGUGAUGUAUCCAUGAUGGGAGACAAUUAAAAGGAUGGAGAUAAGUGAAAAACAGAAGAAACAUGGUGUUUGGGUAUUUAGUGGGAAGGGCAUUUCGGCUCUUAGCAAGUAAUAAGCAAGUGCCUUGGAAGGAGAUUGUUCCUAGCUUAUAUAACUGUGAAUCCAGCGGGCUUAAGCACAAGUAGUAGAAUCUUUCAUAGUGAAUUCCCAUGAAGUUUCCUGCUUGCUUCCUAAGUCAAUGCUUGCUGUGCUAAAAUCAAUGAAGGAUGGACACAAUGAAACUCCCUCCCCAUUACUUAAUUUCAUACGUUCUUUUCAACCGUAAGUACAUGUCUCUGUGAAAUAAUUCUCUCCAUGGUACUGUUCCUGUUUUGUGAAGUUGUAGGUCUUGGAAGUUGGAAGUCAUUGUCAACCACCUGUUGUUAGUUUAACAAAUAAAGAAUAUAAUAUGUAUAUUAAAUCCAAAUCUUAUGAGUUUUAAUUAGUUCAUUAGUUUGGUGUAGAGGGAGUCAUUCAAACCACCUCUUGGCAAUUUACAUAUUCAUUUCCCUAUUUAUCUAUGUGUAAGUUCAAAAAGGGUUAUUUGCAUUUGCAGGAGUAUCUCUUCACGUAUGAGUGUGGGGCUGCAAAUGAGAGAAGAUGUUAAAAAAAAUGAAUUUUAUAAGUUUAAGCUUUUAGGAAGAUUAGCAAUUCAAUAAACAGAGUUUUGAAAUUUAUUACAUUUUAAUGGGAUAAAAUUCAAUAAAAUUAAGAGUGUGUUUGACAGUGAUUUUAGGAAGUACUUUUAUCAUUUCUAAUACUUGAAAAUUUUUAUUUUUUAAGUAUUAAAAAGAUUAUAUACACUUCCUAAAAUCACUACCAUAUGAGAAAAUACUUCCAAUAUUUGUAACACUUCAAAAUUUUUAUCAUUCAAGUAUUAGAAUGAUUAAAAUUGUUUUUUAAAAUCACUACCAAACGUAUUUUUAGUUUAUAAACAUAUCCAAGAAACUAAGAUGAAAUAGUUCAAGGAUACAAAAUAGAAAAUUAUGAUAUUUUUAUCUUAAAAAUUCAGUCAAUUACAUAACAGUAGAAAAUAAACUCGUAACAAAUCUUAUAUAAAUGGGAGUGGUCUAUAUUAACUCAUAUAUUUGAUAUAAAACAAAUAAGAGGUGUAUUAUAGCCCUCUUAUAGAGGAAUUUUUUCAAGAAAAAAUCCAUUUCUAUUUUUUUACUAUUUCUUUUAUGUUUAUGGUCUUUUUAAUUAUGGGUUAAUUUUUCCAAGUUCGUUAUGCUUCACCACUCCGAAGUUUCUACAUGAAUACGACAUAGAAAAAAUUCUACAUAGCAUGGAUAUAAAAGUGUUUGUGUCAAAGUCAUAUAAGGUUAAAAAAUAGAUUAAAAAUUUGAGUUAAAACAUGUUGAUAUGUUGCACAUCAUACAUUUUAGAUAUAAAAAUAAAUUAAUUUAUAUAACUUGCGCUCCAAGCCUGAGUUAAAGUUUGAUAUAUAAUAAGACUUGUACAUCCACAUAUUUUAGAUAUAAAAAAUGAAUUGAUUCAUAUAACUUGCACUCCAUGCCCAAGUUAUAAUUUGAUAUACAACGAGAUUUAAAUAUCACUUCUAUUGAGUCACACCCGCUUAACUCGUAUAAAUUGAGAUAACACUGAUACAUGCAAAUCAUAUAUGUAAGAGUUCACAAAACCAAUAAUAACAACAAAUUAGUUUAUUUUCAAAUAUUUUUCAAAAUCAUUUUUAUUUGUAGUAUUUUAGUUUCAAUUAUUUUUCAUAUUUAUAUAACUAUUUUUUAAAAUAAUUUUAGAAAACAAAUACAAAUAAUUAAAAUAUAUUCUUAAAUAAUAUUCUGAUUUUAGAAUAAAUUCUUAAUGAACUAUCAAUCAUAUUUUGGAAUCUAAAAAAUAAGUGCCAUGCAUCACAGUACUACUUAAAAAAUCUGUGGUUCACGUCAUAUGAUUGUUUGUCAUGAUUACCAUUUAUAUAAUCCAACAAGAAGUCCAUUGAAAGGGAAGGAAUCUUAUAGUAUCCUUAUAAAAUAUUUGAGCUCCAAAAUGGGGAAACAAUCCAGUGCUUAUGCCUCACAUGCUAGUCGGCCGUGGUGAUUGGUCAUCGAUUAUUUUUUAACUAAACAAUUACACUAAAUAUUGAUAUGAAUUUAAAACAUUAGAUUAAAAAAUUACACUGAAUGAUAUGAAUUUAAAACUUUUGUUUAUCAUACAUUUUAUUGUGAUAUUAUAUUUAUCCUUAUUUAUUUAAAUAAUUACAAAAAUACCAUAUAUCAUAUACAUUCUAGGAUGGACCGUAAAUAAUGGUGAAAUAUAUGACAAAUUACAAGUUGUUAACACAUCAAAAAUUAUCCUCUUCAACAUGCAACUCUUCAUACUGUAACACGUGCAUGGCUUUGGAAGUGCUUCUCAACUUAACACAUCGAAUUACUCUUUAUUUAAGAAACUUUUUUUUUUUUUUCUACUUUUCUCUCUUGUAGAAUUUCUCUGAAUACAGUUGGUGAUUCUUUGUUCUACCUAGGUUCUCUCCAAAACUUUUCUUUUAACUUUUUUUUCUUUUCAUUUUAUUUCUGCAUUUCAUUUGGAUUUUAUUCUCAGAAUAAAAUAGAUAAAAAGUAGAUAUAAUAAACAAUUAAAGAGUAAUAACAAGAAGAUUUAAUCCUAAAAUUAAUAUUAUUUUACCCUUUAUAAGAAAUAAGAAGGGAAUAGCAGACACUCAUGUUUAAUUUAGAAAAACCGGAGCUUAUCUCUGAUGGUGAGAUGCUCCCCAUCAGAGAAGCCGCGAUUGGACAGCUCUGGAUCUAUGAGUCCCCACCAUCUUAAAAACCCCACCAACAAAAACAAUCAUGAAGAUUCACUCUUUCCCUCAACACUUCAAGCACUUGUUGCAGUGAAUAGAGACAAUAUUUUCCACUCUAUCUCUAAUCCUUGGACUUCUCCCUAACUUAGCCAUUACCAUUAGUACUAAACUUAAAACCUAUUUUAAAAUCUGAAUUCCAAACAUAGUAUAAAAUGAAGUCUCCCUGUAUAUGCCGAUGAAAAAGAGGGAAAGAAAAGAUAGAGGAAAGAGGUGUGUUUGGUUUGGUUUUGUUUUGGAGUGAGGCUUUAAGAGUUGUGAAAAUGGUUGACGGUGUGAUUGAGACGUGGGAAAUGGAAAACUCUAGCAAAAAGGAUCAAAACUAGGAAUGGAAUGGUAGUUAUGGAAUAAAAUAAUCAGUUUAUGAAAAUGGAAUAAUUAUCCAUUUUACAUUAUGUGGAUAGUCGAUAUACACUAUAUAAUCAAAUAUACAAGUAUAGAAAGUACCUCCUAUUCAUGAAGUUGUAAUAAAUUUAUGAGGAAAGCGGUUAUUGUUGAGAAAUCUAAAACUGAAAAGGAAAUUAAAAUUCUUAUAUGAAUUUGUAAUAGAUAUAUGAGGUAAAGGGUUGUUGUUGGGAAUUCUAAAAUUGGAAAGAAAUUUUAGAAUUCUUAUAGAAAUGGAAUCAUAGUUUAAAUAGAAAAACCGUCUAAAAAUAUUAUAUAAUAUUUUUAAUUAUUUAAUCAAACUUAUGAAAAAAUAAUUUAUUAAAAAAACUUAAUUACUUAAUUAAUUAAUUAAUUAAAUUUUUUCUUUUAAAACUUGAUUUUUUUUUAUGAUAGUUAAAUCAAAGAAACAUUCUAGACUGCACAUAUAAAGAAAUAGCUUAACUUGGGGUUUUAUUUUUUAAACUGUUAAUUAAAUAAUAAUAAUAAUAAUAAUAAAUGUAGUUUAUCAUAAUAUUUUUAUUUUUUAUUAUUUAAUAAUAGAUAAGUAAAGAAAACUUACCUUAAUGUUGAAUAGAUAAAGGAGAUAAAUAGGUAACCUAUAUAAAUAAAUUAGUUAAAUGAAAAUAAUUUCUUUAACCAAUCAACUAUUGACCUAAGUAGAAUAAGUUUUUCUUUGAUAGUCAUUCUUCAUUCCAACUUGGAAUUGUUAUUAAUCUUCAAAUUCAAUACUUGUUAUUUGAAUUGAAAUUUUAUUUUAUUUUUUAAAUUAAGACUUAUGUGGUGUUUGUUUUUUUACUUAAUUCUAAAUAGAACUUUAAUGCUUAAUAGUGUUAAAUAUUAGGUUGUUUGUUUUUAUAGUAUUUUAUUUCUCGUAAGUAUUAAAAAAUAUAAAAAAAAACAAUAUGUUAUUUUUUCUAUUUAGAAAAAGUUACAUAUUUUGGUUUUUUUCUAUUUAGUAAAAAAUUUAUAAUAAGUCAUGAAAAUUUUCAAACACCAUUAGUUAUUUUCUAAUUACAGUAGGUAUCACAAAAGUGGGGUGUUUUUUUCUUUGGUAUUUAUAAAUGCUCACACUUCUAUACCUAGCUUUAAUACUUUUUUUUAUAGAAGAUUACGAAAGUAUAAUUUCUGUUUAUUUUGGUUUGAUAAAGAGUUAGCAAUUUAUUAUUAUUUUAAUUUUCUAAAAGUUUAAAAAAUAUAAUGGCUUUGACCUACAUACGAAACCUUAACGAUAGGAUAUUCCUUAUGCAAAUGAUCUUACAACAUUUAUUUAAAAAAAAAAAAAAAACUAAUUAUGCAUUCAAUCUGAGUAAACUAGUAGAACAUAAGCUCAACAGCUUGUUUCUAUCAAGUCUACAUGGUUGCAGUUGGGGGAGGGGUCUCAGGAGGCUCAUGCUCAUCAGAAGGGCUCACCCUUGAGUUCAUAGUUGCAGUUGGUGGAGAGGCCUCAGGGGACUCCGGGGCCUCAGGAGGCUCUGGGGCUUCAGAAGGACUCACUGUUGACCACCUUGGGGUGCUCCAUUCAUCUCCAGUGAGACGGGGAGACAAAUUUGACGGUCUUUCAUUAGGAAUCUCAGUUUGUCCACUAUGAAAGAAAUGUACUAAUUGAACGGUCUUCAUCCAGACACUUUCAUCAUUUGGGUUUGCAUUACUUCUGGAUGCCUGGUGGCGUUUAAAAUCGAUGAGCAGGCGAAGGAAGAACAGUAGAAAGCAGAGGGUGGAAGUGGCGCCACAUAAAAGGUAGAGAGCCCAGAAGCUCCGGAGGCUCAGUUCAUCAGUUUCGGUGGUGGAACACUCGGCAGAACGAGGAAACCACUCAUCUUCUAAUGCUUUUAGAAUCCCCUCCUCAGAUAUGGUUAGGAUGGCUUCAGAGACAUCAGCAGCUAGUGGAGAGCCUUUCUGAAAGGCCUGCAGGGAGAUUAACAAGGAUGAAAUGACCAAAGGUGAUUUCAUUGUAAGAAUGCUAAGCAAAUUCCAUAUACCGUAUGCUAUCCUAUCCCACUGAGCAAAGGUUCAACUAAUCUCCACCCCGAGACAAGGGAUGGGCCAAUUUUCUUUGGGGAAAAAGGGCAUAGACAAGGGAAAUCAAUUUGGGCCACUCCAUACAUUUGGUAGCCUAAACGUUCCUCCCUCGAGCAAUUUUCCUAAGAAAAAUGUAGUGAAUGCACAUGGGGAAGAGUUCGAGUUACUACUCACAAAGCCUAAUCCUCCGAAUCUGUUGAGGGUUUCGGAGGCGGUGUAAUUCUUGCAGAACUGAUUGAUGAAAACUUUUGCAUAAGGAAGUUCAAGAAAGGCAGCUGAGAUGUUCCCACUCUGGAAUUCGCCAGGAUAUUGGUAUUGGUUGCUAAUAUUCUUGAUAUCAGGCCCUUCGAAUUUAAUCACAUUCUCCAAGUAUUUCCUCACAAAUGAAUCACCAUCACAACCAACCACAGAUUUGGUAGCUUUUAGCCAUUCGACAUCCAUCACAUCGGGUACAAUCCGUUGGACAGUGAGCAUUGAAGAAAGACUAGCAGUGUAGCUGGAGGUUAAGACGAAGACAACAAAUAGCCACACCACUAUCACUACUCGAGUAAUAUUGCUACGAAUUGUCUCCCCUGGGAAAUGAAACAACAGCUAGCUUUCUGAGUAAUGUAAUUAUUGAGCAAACCAAAAUCUCUUGCAUUUUCAAUACUAAUACUUACUAUGAGCAAAGAAAAGAGAAGAGAAGGUGAACCAAAGAGCUGUCCCAAGCUGACUCUUCCAUGGGCCUCUGAAUGCCGGAUUGUUGGAUUGGUACUCUACUACCCAAACUAUGAACAUGGUGUAGACCAAGAGGGCACCAGUGACUACCCACAUUUCCCUUGUGAAAGGCUUCAUGCCUUGUGAGGUUCUUCAGACCUUACUUGUAGUAUCAUCACCAAUCCUGAUUCAGCAUAUGGCUGUGUGAAUUCCACCUUUUUUGAACGGUUAGCUAGUAUGGUCACAUCCCCAACCACAGCAUCAUAGGUCUUGAUCAUGUAAUUGAUUUACAAGAGAUAAGCACAGAAUUUCUAUCAGAAACAAAUACAAAGUAUGACUCAAGAAUUCUGAGAGUCAAUCUCCUGUAGUGUAUCGUCUCAUGAGGACAAGGUCAAAAAUUAAUGUCAGAAAAGUCUACUAAACAGUAUUUCUUUGGGAGGCAAAAAAAUUUAGAAGUUUCAAGGGUUUGAAAAACCUAGCUAGUUAGGGAAAUAUAUUGACUAGGAGAGAAAUGAUGUUCAGUUUGACUCUGAUUGGCUAACAAUCUGAUUUUCAUUUAUCAAUAAAUACAUGUUUCAGUUGUUUUCGUCUAAACCAACAAGAAGUUGAUCAGUAAGCCAGACAGCUGAUUCUCUAUGCGUAGUUAGAAAAGGAAAACGUUUAAUGAUGAAACCACAAUACAAACACAAACACCACAAUACAAAUCAUGGACAUUGGAGUGAAGUUGAGAUUUAAUUGUAGUGUGGGGAAUCUCAUGAUUAUUGAGAAAGAUUUAAAGAGCGAAGGCUUGAGAUAGGAGUAAUUACCUUGUUGUAAACACAAUCAACCAGCUCAUCGUAUGUGCCAACAACUGGAUAGAAGUCGUAGGGUAGAGAGUAAUUUUGCUCCAAAAUUUUUAACACCUGGCGGAAAAUAUCAAUACAGAAGCCAGUAUAUCUUUUCUCAGGAUCAAUUUGAGCUUCGUCCACCUUCACAAACUUGUCGAAGGAGGUGUUAGCUGGAAUUCCAAUCUUCAAUGGUUUUGCAUCAGUGGGCAUUUCCCAUCCCUUGGGGACACGUUUUAGGUACCCAGGCCAAAUCACUGGACCAUCCAAAACCUUUGUGGUGUUUCUACUGCUAUUUUUGUCUCCACCUUCUCUGCUGAAAGGGUUGUCCAAGUCCUGCGUCCAAAAGUCAAGAACCUUGUAGUCCGUUCUAACAACGUUUAUAAUCCUGAAUGGCAACGAAUUUGAAAUUGAUAGAUCACCCCCUUCAAAAAUAAUUUUGCCACUUAAACCACUGAAGUUGCUUGAUAAUAUAUUUUUUAACAACAUAUUUGGAGUAUUAGUAUCAUCACUAGCUAAUCUCUCCAGGGCCCGUGUGAUGACAGCAAUGCUAUCAUAUGCUCGUAGUGCAUGAAUUCCCGGCUGGGCGUUGUCUUCAUCUGGGUUUUCGGAUUUAAAAUUUUUCUGAAACUGGGCAGAGAAUUCUAGGAAGGUUGUAGGGAAUUAAACCGAAUUCCCAACCCGUGAGAAACAAAAAUUAGAGAAAACACACGCCAAAGAAAAACAAUCACACGCACAAGACAGUAUUUACGUGGUUCGGCAAUUUGCCUACGUCCACGGAGUUGCAGGGAUAUCACUAUUAUCAGGGAAGAAUACAGAGUACUACUUAGCGGCUACAAUAUUCUCUAUAUAUAUAUAGCACGGCAACCCCACCAUACUAAAAAACCCUAAUUACAAAAGGUGGUUCCACAAUGGGCUAAACGGGCCCAACAGGCCUCAAUAAAUCUCCCAUUAAAAAAGCCAUGCAAUAUUAUUCGGGUCGGGUCGUCAAACCGGAUCAAACAAAACUAGGCUCCACAAAGCCCAACAAAUCUCCCACUUGGAGACUAGUCCAAUCACCAACAUCAAACCGCUAUCCUCCAAGAAACGAUCCCUCAUCCCUACAACUCAUCCUCCUGUCCUCAAGCUAGAAGACCAAUUGAAGCUGCGCACAGCUUCAACUUCUCAAUAGUGACACCCUUAGUCAACAUGUCUGCAGGGUUCUUAGAUCCACAAAUCUUCUCAAGUAUUACCAGUUUAUCCUCAACAAGAUAACGGAUAAAGUGGUAUUUUGUUUGUAUAUGUUUCGACUUUGAAUGAAAAGCCGAAUUUUUGGCAAGAAAAAUUGCACUCUGACUGUCACUGUGUAGAAUGCCCAUCUCCUGCUUCUUACCCAAUUCAUCUAAGAAACCAUGUAGCCAAAUCAUCUCCUUUCCAGCUUCAGUUGCUGCAACAUACUCAGCUUCUGUAGUAGACAAAGUAACAAUCUUCUGUAGAUUUGAAGUCCAUGAUAUAGCUGUACCACCUAGAGUAAAAACAAACCCAGUAGUACUCUUUCUACUAUCAAUAUCACCAGCAAAAUCAGCAUCUACAUAACCCUGCAGUUUCAAACUUGCACCUGUGAAGCAAAGACAUGUAUCUAAUGAACCCUUCAGAUAUCUUAAAAUCCACUUGACUGCCUCCCAAUGCUGCUUUCCAGGCCUACUCAUGAAUCUGCUCACAACUCCCACUGCAUGUGCAAUGUCUGGUCUUGUACACACCAUAGCAUACAUCAAGCUGCCAAUAGCUGAGGCAUAUGGCACCUUGCUCAUAUGGUCCCUUUCUUCUUCUGUCUUUGGUGACUGUUCUUUGCUUAGUUUGAAAUGACUACCCAAGGGUGUGCUCACUGGUUUAACUUCAUUCAUGUUGAACCUGCUAAGAACUUUCUUCACAUACUCUGACUGUGAAAGCUUCAAUGUACCAUUAGCCUUAUCUCUAAUGAUUCUCAUACCAAGGAUUUGCUUUGCAGCUCCCAAAUCCUUCAUUGCAAACUGUUUGGACAAUUGCUUCUUCAGAUUAUUAAUCUUCUCAAUGUCAGACCCUACAAUAAGCAUAUCAUCCACAUACAACAGUAAUAUGAUGUAAGAGUUGUCAAAGGACUUAACAUAGCAACAAUGAUCAGAUUCACAUCUCUUGAACCCAAUUCUAUGCAUAAAAUUGUCAAACUUCUUGUACCACUGUCUAGGAGCUUGUUUAAGGCCAUACAAGCUCUUUCUCAGUUUGCAGACUAGAUUCUCUUGUCCCUGAACAAUGAACCCUUCUGGCUGAAUCAUGUAAAGGUCUUCCUCCAAGUCACCAUGAAGGAAUGCUGUCUUCACAUCUAACUGCUCAAGAUGUAAGUUUUCUGCGGCCACCAUUCCAAGUACAAGUCUAAUUGUUGACAUCUUCACAACUGGAGAAAAUAUCUCUGUGUAGUCAAUGCCCUCCUUCUGCUGGAACCCUUUAACAACUAAUCUGGCCUUGUAACGUUUGCUACCAUCAUGCUCAUUCUUUAUUCUGUAUACCCACUUGUUGUGCAAAGCCUUCUUUCCUACUGGCAAUUCAGUCAGUUGCCAUGUCUGAUUCCCCAACAGGGAAUCCAUCUCAUCCUUCAUGGCUAACUCCCACUUGCUUGAAUUCUCAUCUUGCAAGGCUUCAUCAUAACACUCUGGCUCACCACCAUCAGUCAACAGGAGAUAAUUUAAAACAGGUGAAUAACGCUGCGGAGGUCUAGUGUUCCUAGAAGAUCUGCGAACUUCAACUAUAGGUGUACUCAGAUCUACCUGUGAAUUUACAUUCUCCUUAUCUUCUUCACCCCCUUUUUGGACAGUACUUUCAGUCAAUUCAUCUAAGUUGACAAACUCAAAUUUCUUUUGAUCUAUCUCUGUAACAUCUGACGUUACAGUUGACCUAUCCUUGUACAUAACCUGUUCAUUAAAUAUCACAUUUCUACUUCUGAUGAUUUUCCUGUUUUGUUCAUCCCAAAACCUAUAGCCAAAUUUCUCAUCACCAUAGCCAAUGAAAAAACAUAUUUUUGACUUUGCAUCAAGUUUACUACGAGCAUCAGAAUCAAUAUGAACAUAAGAAACACAACCAAAAACUUUUAAAUGUGAAAACUUCACCUCUUUACCGCUCCAAACCUCUUCAGGAAGUCUGAACUCCAUGGGAACUGAUGGUCCUCGGUUUAUCAGGUAAGCUGCAGUGCUAACAGCAUCAGCCCAAAAAGUUUUUGGUAGUCCAGCAUGCAACCUCAUACUUCUAGCACGCUCAUUGAGAGUUCUAUUCAUGCGCUCAGCCACACCAUUCUGUUGUGGUGUCCCAGGAAUGGUCUUCUCCAUCCUAAUUCCCUGUGCAGCACAAUACUCACUGAAUCCUCCAUCUAUGUACUCUCCUCCAUUAUCUGACCUCAAACAUUUUACUUUCAAACCUGUUUCUGUCUCAACCAUGGCCUUCCACUUCUUAAAAGUUACAAAUACAUCAGAUUUAUUUUUCAGAAAAUAAACCCAUACCUUUCUACUUGAGUCAUCAAUAAAGGUAAUGUAGUACCUUGAACCUCCUAGGGAUGCAACCGGAGAAGGCCCCCACAAAUCAGUGUGUACUAGUUCCAAUUUUUCAGCCUUCGGUGUCCUGCCAGUUUUCAAGAAGCUCACCUUUUUUUGCUUUCCUAAGAUGCAACUUUCACACAUGUCAAAAUCAAUGGACUUCAAUUCUGGUAGUUUUCCUUUUGACAGCAACAUCUUCAUCCCUUUCUCACUCAUGUGACCAAGUCUGCGGUGCCAUAGGCUUGUAUCAGUACUUGCAUCAGCAACUGCAAUUGUGUCUCUUGGACAUGAGGUCAUAUACAGAGUGCCAGUCUUCUUUCCACGAGCCAAUACCCUAGCUCCCUUUGUAACCUUCCAAGUACCACCAACAAAUAGUAUUGCAUGUCUUUCAUCAUCAAGUUGUCCAACAGAAAUCAGAUUCCUCUUCAGGUCAGGAAUAUGUCGAACCUUCUCCAGUAACCAAACAGACCCAUUGGGCAAUGAUAUCCGGACGUCUCCCAGACCCACAACAUCCAAGGCUGAACCAUCAGCCAAAUACACCUUACCAAAAUCACCUGCAACAUAAUUCUGUAUGAUUUCUCGGUGUGGAGUGGUAUGAAACGAAGCUCCUGAAUCCAAAACCCAAUCAUCAAGUGGACUAUCUACUGCAAGAAGUAAUGCAUCCUAUACCUCUUCUGUUACAGCAUUAGCAGAAUCAUCUUCAUUUUUCUUCUUAGGGCUUUUGCAUUGCCUUUUAAAGUGACCUGUUUUCCCACAAUUCCAGCAUUGUACUUGUUGGCCUGAUCUAGAUUUGCUUCUGUUCCGAUUAGAAUUUCUGGAAUUUGAUCUACCCUGAUUUGAAUUUUUGUUAUUACCUCUGCCUCUUGUCUCAAGGUUUAGGGCAGAACCAGACCCUGAGGUUUCACCUGCAUCUCUUCGGCGAAUCUCCUCAGCCAGAAUUAAAUCUCGUAUAUCAUUGUACUUCAGCUUUUCCUUUCCUGUAGAAUUGCUUACUGCCAUCCUCAUUGCCUCCCAACUGUUUGGCAAAGAAGCCAAGACGAUCAGAGCACGAAUCUCAUCAUCAAAAUCAAUUUCUACAGACGACAAUUGAUUUGUGAUUGUAUUAAAUUCAUUCAGAUGUUGUGCUACUGAUGCAUUCUCUGCCAUCUUCAAAUUGAACAAUUUCUUCAUCAGAUGCACCUUAUUGUUUGCGGAUGGCUUUUCAUACAUACCGGACAAAGCCUUCAUCAGAUCUGCUGUGGUCUUCUCCUUUACAACAUUGUGUGCAACAGACCUAGACAGAGUUAACCUAAUAACUCCUAGAACCUGUCUGUCAAGAAGCGCCCAUUCCUCAGCCUUCAUACUCUCAAGUUUUGUCCCCAAAAGAGGCAGAUGCAAUUUCCUCCCAUAGAGAUAAUCUUCAAUCUGCAUCCUCCAAUACGCAAAGUUUGUGUCAUCAAACUUUUCUAUUCCAGACGCCUUUCCUGCUUCCUCUNNNNNNNNNNNNNNNNNNNNNNNNNNNNNNNNNNNNNNNNNNNNNNNNNNNNNNNNNNNNNNNNNNNNNNNNNNNNNNNNNNNNNNNNNNNNNNNNNNNNGUAAUCUUCAAUCUGCAUCCUCCAAUGCGCAAAGUCUGUGCCAUCCAACUUUUCUAUUCCAGACGCCUUUCCUGCUUCCUCUGCCAUUGCUCCCACUCAAACCUAACCCUAGGCUCUGAUACCAGUUGUAGGGAAUUAAACCGAAUUCCCAACCCGUGAGAAACAAAAAUUAGAGAAAACACACGCCAAAGAAAAACAAUCACACGCACAAGACAGUAUUUACGUGGUUCGGCAAUUUGCCUACGUCCACGGAGUUGCAGGGAUAUCACUAUUAUCAGGGAAGAAUACAGAGUACUACUUAGCGGCUACAAUAUUCUCUAUAUAUAUAUAGCACGGCAAUCCCACCAUACUAAAAAACCCUAAUUACAAAAGGUGGUUCCACAAUGGGCUAAACGGGCCCAACAGGCCUCAAUAAAUCUCCCAUUAAAAAAGCCAUGCAAUAUUAUUCGGGUCGGUCGUCAAACCGGAUCAAACAAAACUAGGCUCCACAAAGCCCAACAAAGGGCCUAUUAGAUUUGGAAUAGUAGGACUUGAUUCCUAGAGCCCCUUCCAUAUAGGGGAUAACGGAGGUGUCCAUGGAAUCCAGGAAGCUUGAAAUGCUAUCUGUAAUUAUCCAGGCUGAGUCUUUCCCCAUCAAAUCCAUCCGCCUUGCUUCUUGGAACAAAUGGAUAGCCAUCGGUAAUGAUGAUUGAAGAACAAUGAAAACCCUGGAUUGUGUGCUCAGAAGCUUCAAGAGCUCUUGAUGGACAGCUCCUCUUGGAUCAGAUAGAGAUGAUAUGGGAGGAAGAGACAAAUGGUACUCGAUCUCCGAUCCAACUCCUUGAAGAGCUUCAGAUAAAAUAGUUAAC